ensembl:lncRNA
CGGUCUCUGCAAGUUCUGACGUUCGGACAGCAUUUCCAGGGGAAGAGGCAUCUCUCUCCUGCUUGAAUUCAACCCUGGUGGAUAUGAGCACCUACAGAGUCAGAUGGAUGAAGACUGCCGGCAACACAAAUGAACCCGGGCCAGUUGGAUGCUGGGUCAUACAUAGAGGAAGUCUGGAAAGGAUGGAAGCUUAUUGAGAAGAAAUACAUACAGCUAAAAGUCAAAGAUUGCAAAGUCCUUCAGGCUGUGAUGGCUGCACCGGGCUACCCUUUAACGCUCAAGUGUAACCCAAAAUCUGAGUCUUCAAACUUCACCUGGGCAAAGUUAAAGGGACAGGAGCAAGUCUCGAUAAGAGAAAGGAACGAUGGACCCUUGGUUUUCCAGUCUGUGAACACCUCUGACGCUGGCUGGUACAGGUGUACCUACAUGUUGAGCCAACGGCAACAUUGCCACGACAUCAAUUUGCUCAUCCAAGAUAGUUUAGUGAUCACAACCACUGCAGUCGUCAUGGCAACAACCAAUCAAGCAUUGGAGGCCACCCAGCAGGUCCCCUCGUCAACCUCAACUCCAGUUGUGGCUUCAGUAGUUAGUGUGGUGAUAAUGAUUAUUGCUGUACUGACAGCACUGAUCAUCUACUUCAAAUUUCAUACCCAAAAGUCACCAACCCAAUUGACAAGAGCCUAUCCAGCUUACAUGGACACCUAUGAGAAUAUGAGUCUUCCAGAUGUACAGGAUGAUGAAAAGAAAGUCAACUCUUUGUACUACUUGGAGGAGGAAAACAUUUCUACCUGUAAGUGUUUGUGCUGA